GUACACUCCUGCGGGAGGCAGCAGUGGGGAAUUUUGGACAAUGGGCGAAAGCCUGAUCCAGCCAUGCCGCGUGCAGGAUGAAGGCCUUCGGGUUGUAAACUGCUUUUGUACGGAACGAAACGGCCUUUUCUAAUAAAGAGGGCUAAUGACGGUACCGUAAGAAUAAGCACCGGCUAACUACGUGCCAGCAGCCGCGGUAAUACGUAGGGUGCAAGCGUUAAUCGGAAUUACUGGGCGUAAAGCGUGCGCAGGCGGUUAUGUAAGACAGUUGUGAAAUCCCCGGGCUCAACCUGGGAACUGCAUCUGUGACUGCAUAGCUAGAGUACGGUAGAGAGGGAUGGAAUUCCGCGUGUAGCAGUGAAAUGCGUAGAUAUGCGGAGGAACACCGAUGGCGAAGGCAAUCCCCUGGACCUGUACUGACGCUCAUGCACGAAAGCGUGGGGAGCAAACAGGAUUAGAUACCCCGGUAGUCCC
rnacentral:rRNA from 1 species